rnacentral:rRNA from 1 species
GUCUAUGGCCAUGCAACCCUGAACAAGCCCAAUCCUGUCUGAUCUCGGAAGCUAAGCAGGGUUGGGCCUGGUUAGUACUUGGAUGGGAGACCACCUAGGAAGACCAGGUGCUGUAGGCG